rnacentral:rRNA from 1 species
GAUGAACGCUGGCGGCGUGCCUAAUACAUGCAAGUCGAGCGAACGGACGAGAAGCUUGCUUUUCUGAUGUUAGCGGCGGACGGGUGAGUAACACGUGGAUAACCUACCUAUAAGACUGGGAUAACUUCGGGAAACCGGAGCUAAUACCGGAUAAUAUUUUGAACCGCAUGGUUCAAAAGUGAAAGACGGUCUUGCUGUCACUUAUAGAUGGAUCCGCGCUGCAUUAGCUAGUUGGUAAGGUAACGGCUUACCAAGGCAACGAUGCAUAGCCGACCUGAGAGGGGGAUCGGCCACACUGGAACUGAAACACGGUCCAGACUCCUACGGGAGGCAGCAGUAGGGAAUCUUCCGCAAUGGGCGAAAGCCUGACGGAGCAACGCCGCGUGAGUGAUGAAGGUCUUCGGAGCGUAAAACUCUGUUAUUAGGGAAGAACAUAUUUGUAAGUAACUGUGCACAUCUUGACGGUACCUAAUCAGAAAGCCACGGCUAACUACGUG